UUGGCUGAAUAUGACACAGUUUGUGCACCAGUCACUUCCUGUUGUUAUAUUUGAGUGCGGGCGACACACAUGAUCAUGUUAAAUGACAUGCGUGGUUUAGUUGCAUGUGCGCUCUGAUGUUUCCUUCUCUCAUUCCUCUCUCAGAAGAUGGAGGUGAAGAACUUGAGCCUUCUCCAGGUGCUAUGGAUGUUGAGGAGCGGACGCGGCAGAUGAAACUGAAGAUGAACAAGUACAAACAGGGAACAGGCUCAGACUCCAGACUGGAACAGGACUAUCACAAGGCAAGUACUGUGGUCUACUGCUCUACUGGUAGAAAAACUGUUCAAAACCAACUUUUUAAAUGAUUCAAAUGGUUCAUCACUCAUGAUAACUCAAGAUAAAUGAGUGUGUUUUAUAUUCGUAAUAUUUGUAUUUAUAAUAACAUUUUCCGUUUAAGUUGCACUCAUGCUACUUGAGGUCAUCACAGUGAAAUAAAACUCCUGGUUGCUUUAAUAAUAAUAAUAAUUGAAAAAUAAUAUUUUCAUUAUAAUCCUUUAUGUUUCACCUAUGUUAACUUCACUAUAUUACAAAUCUAAUCUAAUCUUGACAAACUAUAUAUCGUUGGAAAGGUCUAAGACUCCCAAAUAUAUAUGUUACCAAUGUUUUUUUGUAAAAAAUUAUGUAGGAAAGUAAUAGAUUAAUUUAUGACAAGAUUGCACCCUCAAAAAUCUAUUUUAUAACAGGAGUUUUGACCUUUGUUUAAAAAAAAGACUUUGUUGCUCUUUUCUCUCUCAAAUUUUAGAAAUCAUCAGAAAUUAUAUAUCACUUGAAAACAUAAAAUCUCAAAAUUCAUCCUUUAAAACCCAUUUUAAAAUCAGACAUUGCAUUAACCAUGUAAAUGGUAAUCAAUAUCAUGUUACAAAAUGUUUAUAGUCAUGAAUUAUAAAAAUGUAGGUUUGUAUCAUGCACAUUCAAGUCUAUCUUCUAAAAUGUGAGUGACAGUAAUGGGGUUUUAAAAAAAUGUAAAUGUUCACAUGGAAAAGGUAAUUCUUGUUUUGAUUUAUUAAUCUCAAAAUAUUUGCAUGCAUGCUUGUGCACGUUAUGUUUAAAGUUUUUAUUUUAUUUUAAUUAUUUUUUAUUUUAGUUAUUUUAUUUUAGUUUACGAGUUCUUCUUUCACGCACUUUAAAUGCAUCGGUUUAGUUACAAUAGCUACUUUUUGCUUGUAGCUUUAGUUUUGCUAACUAAGUUAAACUAGAUCCAAGUAGUUUAACUAGAUCCAAGAGCACUUUUUAGCCAUUCAGAUUGCUUAUUUGAUCUGAAGUCAACAUAGAUAAAACAUGUUGUGUGUUUGGUGACCCACUUCCCGCAGUUGGGAGAUUUUUAUAGACCUAUAUAGUCUUCCAGGUUUAGGGACUCUGUUCAGGAUAUACAUUAGUGUUUGUGUUCACUGGACAUUGUGCUGAGAUUAAGUGCCAUAUACAGUCAUAUCGCCUUCCCUUUGUAUCCUUUUAAGCGUGUGGUAUGAAAAGCAUUGUACAGGCACUCGAGUUGUGCAGAAUUCUAUUUAAAGCAGGUAAAGACUCUGUUUGUUUGGUCUGUCUAAUAGAGGCGCCAUUUAGGACGUAAUGUUUAUAAUCAGCAUAGCAAGCCAUGAGCAACUUAUAAAUAAAUGUUACAUAAGAUCCCACAGUGCUGUACCUCUCCAUGUCUAUCCAAGAGAGAAUAGACAGGAACCCCUUAGUGUAAAUGCAGUGGCUUUCAUUUUAAUGAUGCUUGUUGUCUUUUUUUAGGCUUCUUUAAAAAAAAACAUAUAUAAUAUAUGUAUUUUUGCUUUUAUCCAAAACAAGCAACUUUGCAUUCAGGAUAAACACGUUAUCAGUUCAUGCAUUCCUUGGAAAUCAAACCCAUAUUGUACAGUUUGAGUUUAAGUAAUUCUCAUUAAUAGAAUUGUAUUAUUAUUAUUAUUAGUCAUGUAUUAUUUUGUCUAUUUAUUUAUAUUAAUUAUUUUUAUAUUUAUUUGUUGUUGUUAUUUGAUGGUUGAUAUGUACAUCAAUUUUUAUUCUUUUUGAAUUUAUUAUUUAUAUUUGAAUAGUUGUCAUUUCUGCUGUUGUUAUUGUUUUUCAUUAUUAUCAUUUGUUAUUUUUAAUUCAUUGUAGAUAUUUUAGAUUGAGCUCUUAGUUUGU
ensembl:lncRNA